GUGACCGAGAAGACAGUCCCGCCCUCACAGAUCUUACAUUUUGUUUUGAGGGAGAGUCCAAAAAUAAAUGAACAGUUAAAGAAAUGGAAGUUGCAAAUUCCAGUCAAAAUGAAUUUAUCCUGGGAAAUUGAAUAUCAGAAAAGAAAUCAUGGAAUGAGCAAAGGAUGAAGGAUCCACAAAGUCAGAAGUCCGAGAGGAGGGAAAUCAGGAGGGAGUAGUAUCCACAAAGACAGGAGGAGAAUGUGAAGAGGAAAACUUGCCAUAAAAACAACUCUGAUCAUUUUACUGAACACUUACUCUCUGCCAAGUAGUGUGGGUGGAGUUUAUGUAAUCCUCAAAACAAUCCCACAGAGUAGACACAUUUCUUACACAAAAGAGGAAACUGGGGCCCAGAGAGAGAAAAAUUUCCCUGGAUCACACAAUUGGUCAGUAGGAGAGAUGAACUUUAAAUCCUGGACAUGUGACCCCAGAGCCACUAAGCUCUUAAACAAGCCUUCACUGAUGCCAGAUACCAGGUCACCUUGAUGCCCAGUAAGCCCUCAAAAUUUAAAAAGGGAAAACCCUUAACAAUCAGGUGUGUUGCAGAAGAACCCUAUUGCUUAAUGAUUGCUAUUGCAAAGUUCCCUAAAGUGCAUUAACUUGCUUUCCUGUCAAGAAAAGCAAAACAGUGGUCCCAGGAAGUUAUCACGUCCUAUUCUACAGAGCCUGUGAAUGUCACCUUGCAUGACAGAAGAGACAUUGCAGAUGCGAUUAAGGUAAGGAUGUUGUGGUGGGGAGAUUAUUUUUAGGAUUAUCUGGGUGAGCCUAAUAUAAUCACAAGGGUACUUAUAAGAGGGGGACAGGAUAGAGAUGUGACAGUGGAAGCAGAGGUUGGGCUGAUACAGCCAUGAAGCA